rnacentral:rRNA from 1 species
UACGUAGGGUGCGAGCGUUGUCCGGAAUUACUGGGCGUAAAGAGCUCGUAGGUGGUUUGUCGCGUUGUUCGUGAAAACCGGGGGCUUAACCCUCGGCGUGCGGGCGAUACGGGCAGACUGGAGUACUGCAGGGGAGACUGGAAUUCCUGGUGUAGCGGUGGAAUGCGCAGAUAUCAGGAGGAACACCGGUGGCGAAGGCGGGUCUCUGGGCCGAUAUUGACGCUGAGGAGCGAAAGCGUGGGGAGCGAACAGG